AUUGAACGCUGGCGGCAGGCUUAACACAUGCAAGUCGAGCGGGGAAGUGUAGCUUGCUACAUUACCUAGCGGCGGACGGGUGAGUAAUGCUUAGGAAUCUGCCUAUUAGUGGGGGACAACAUUCCGAAAGGAAUGCUAAUACCGCAUACGUCCUACGGGAGAAAGCAGGGGAUCUUCGGACCUUGCGCUAAUAGAUGAGCCUAAGUCGGAUUAGCUAGUUGGUGGGGUAAAGGCCUACCAAGGCGACGAUCUGUAGCGGGUCUGAGAGGAUGAUCCGCCACACUGGGACUGAGACACGGCCCAGACUCCUACGGGAGGCAGCAGUGGGGAAUAUUGGACAAUGGGCGGAASCCUGAUCCAGCCAUGCCGCGUGUGUGAAGAAGGCCUUAUGGUUGUAAAGCACUUUAAGCGAGGAGGAGGCUACUCUAGUUAAUACCUAGAGAUAGUGGACGUUACUCGCAGAAUAAGCACCGGCUAACUCUGUGCCAGCAGCCGCGGUAAUACAGAGGGUGCGAGCGUUAAUCGGAUUUACUGGGCGUAAAGCGUGCGUAGGCGGCUUAUUAAGUCGGAUGUGAAAUCCCCGAGCUUAACUUGGGAAUUGCAUUCGAUACUGG
rnacentral:rRNA from 1 species